rnacentral:misc_RNA from 1 species
GAUGAAGAACGCAGCGAAAUGCGAUAAGUAAUGUGAAUUGCAGAAUUCAGUGAAUCAUCGAAUCUUUGAACGCACAUUGCGCCCGCCAGUAUUCUGGCGGGCAUGCCUGUUCGAGCGUCAUUUCAACCAUCAAGCCCCCGGCUUGUGUUGGGGACCUGCGGCUGCCGCAGGCCCUGAAAAGCAGUGGCGGGCUCGCUGUCACACCGAGCGUAGUAGCAUACAUCUCGCUCUGGGCGUGCUGCGGGUUCCGGCCGUUAAACCACCUUCAUAACCCAAGGUUGACCUCGAAUCAGGUAGGAAGACCCGCUGAACUUAAGCAUAUCAAUAAGCGGAGGA